GGACAGAAAGACCCUAUGAAGCUUUACUGUAACUUGAAAUUGGAAUUGGACUUUGCUUGCGCAGUAUAGGUGGGAAGCGUUGAAGAUACUCUUGCGGGAGUAUUGGAGCUAUCAGUGAGAUACCACUCUUGUAAUGUUAGAUUUCUAACUUUGAACCAUAAUCUGGUCAAAGAACAGUUUCAGGCGGGCAGUUUGACUGGGGCGGUCGCCUCCUAAAUGGUAACGGAGGCGUACAAAGGUUUCCUCUGAACGGGUAGAAAUCGUAUCUAGAGUGUAAAGGCAUAAGGAAGCUUGACUGUGAGACCUACAAGUCGAGCAGGGACGAAAGUCGGUCUUAGUGAUCUGACGGUGCUGAGUGGAAAGGCCGUCACUCAACGGAUAAAAGUUACUCUAGGGAUAACAGGCUGA
rnacentral:rRNA from 1 species